rnacentral:lncRNA from 1 species
AGAGACUCCAAGACCUCCCCUCUGUCAUCGCCGAACUGUUGAGACAAAACCUGGCCCAUGAAGCAAUCAGACUCCAUCUCCAUAUGCCAGAAGUCCCAGGAUCGGCCGAUGACGACCAGCGAAUAUUAGACUCGACCAAUCAAGUUAGGCAACGAGCGAUUGCGGCCAUCAAUGCUCUCCUUGGAUGAACUGUAAAAGUGCUGGCUGCUCUGUAAAAAUAUUAAAGUCUUUUGACCGCUUGACACAUGAAUCCAAUUCUGACCCAUCCUUCGUGGCGGCCUUUCAUUUACUACCCCUUUUACUCCGAUGGGACGCAUCUUACCAAACUCUUGCCCAUUUUCUUUCUAUAAGUACGAGACCCCAUAUUACUUCCCGAGUCAUUCGCCUCGCUCGUCCUCUUCUUGUCUAGUAGUUCAUACCAUCGGACUAUUCACCAAGAUGUCUUCUUUGUCUUCUUCCUUCUCCUCCUCUUCCGUCAACCAGGUACUGGAUCCUUCCUUCA